rnacentral:rRNA from 1 species
GUGGGGAAUAUUGCGCAAUGGGCGGAAGCCUGACGCAGCGACGCCGCGUGGGGGAUGACGGCCUUCGGGUUGUAAACCUCUUUCGCCAGGGACGAAGAGCAAUUGACGGUACCUGGGGAAGAAGCACCGGCCAACUACGUGCCAGCAGCCGCGGUAACACGUAGGGUGCGAGCGUUGUCCGGAAUUAUUGGGCGUAAAGAGCUCGUAGGCGGUGUGUCGCGUCGGCCGUGAAAACUUGGGGCUUAACUCUGAGCGUGCGGUCGAUACGGGCAUCACUUGAGUUCGGCAGGGGAGACUGGAAUUCCUGGUGUAGCGGUGAAAUGCGCAGAUAUCAGGAGGAACACCGGUGGCGAAGGCGGGUCUCUGGGCCGAUACUGACGCUGAGGAGCGAAAGCGUGGGGAGCGAACAGG